GCUCACUCGCCCAAGUAACCCACCGUCCCAACCCUUCGAUCCUCCACAUCCCCCGACCUUCGACCAACAAAGCAACCAUCCACGGCCGCAACCUCCUCACCAUUCCGUCGUCGUGCUUUUCCCGUCAGUCGAAAGUCCAACCUGGUGAAAGAAAGGUGGCCGGACGACCGCAAUAAAUUUUUACGAGAAAAUUUUAUCAAACAUCGCUAGUAGUACCGCGUCGACGACAACGUUCGCGAGGGUGCAAACAGCGGUGCAACCAGCUGAGGGUAGAGAGCGGGCGAACGGAGAGAGUACGCAUCGCGGGAGACGAUCGAGCGAGCGAGAGAAACCUAGACAGUACAAAAGAACGACGGACUUGUCGCUCAAUAGAACAACACCGGCACGGCCGGUCGAGAUCGUCGUCGGCGACGUCAGCACGAGAAGUCGGGCAGACGCGGGAAACAGCCUUUAACCUUUGAAAUAGCGCCGCGCGCGAUUAUAGCCGAAGACCGGACAUCAUCGUGGAGUUAGAGACGAACAGAAAGAGAGGGUAAAAGAAGUGAGAGAAGAGGGAGGAAAGAGAGACAGAGAGACGCUGUAAGAGAGAAAAACAUACGGAAUCAUUACAACCACCUGGAGAACUUCUCUCUCGAGUGCCUCUGAUAUCACGACUCCCGUAUACCUUCGGUGUAAUCCCAGAUACACACACGCACACCCACGGGCGAGCAAGCGGGCGCGCGCGCGCCAGGUAUCACACGCCCAUAUGAGCGGCUGUACGGAAGCGGAGCGCUCCGUGCGAAAAUGUCAGUGAAUGAAUCGCGUCCCGCCGUGUGUGACCAGACAACGUUAUACGUGGUAUGAUUGCACGGGGUGCUGUACAUCGGGACGAUUACAUAGUCUUUACUCACUCUUGCAACAUCGACAAUUGGAAAGAGAAAACAGAAGAGGAAAUGCACAACAAUCAUAGUCGAAAGUAGCGUCAGUCUGACAGCUGGACACUUACUGAUAAAGACAAAAACAUCGGAAAGAUACGUCUUCUCUUCCCGGAUCAAGAAAACAAUAGAGAAACAGAAGCUGGAAAGAACGAGAAACAAAAGCAAAUAUAAAAGAGAAAGAAGCGGAAAGAAGAAAGAAAAGAUCAAAAUCAAAGAAAAGAAAGUGAGAAAGAAGAGAAAGGAGAUAAAAUAAGGAAAGGAGAGCGCGGAGCAACAUCAGGGAACGACGAGCGGAGGGUUUCUUUGGAAAGAAGAAAGGUCGAGGCGGGAGAUCGAAGGAAAGCUCGGGGGAAAAACGCAGGCACGGCAGAAAGACAGCGAGAGAAAUCGAGAAGCAAGUAUUAUCACGUAAUGCCCCGCGUGUAUUUCACUGCACCUCCUAUAUCGAUAAACCUCGCGUAAUUUUUUGUAUUAUCUGUAUUUUGGGCGUCUCUCACGCCGACAUCCUCACUAUAUAUAGUAUAUGUCGGUAUGUACCUUUUUCUCUGCCUUUGUUCUAUACUCUGUUGUACCUUUGUCGCAAAACACUCGCUCGUGUAUUGCCUUCCCGCGUCUCGCACCGACAAACAAUCGCGCACCGCUCUCUGCCACGGCAAGCCUUUGCUUUUUGAACGUUUUUCGGGGCACCUGUUGAUAUGACCGACCUACAUACUACACUGCUAUCCACAUUAUUAUGUCACCCCAGCAUCGUCAUACGAUCGAGUCAUCGGAUACGGCGCGCGGAUUCGAUACACAAUUAUUGUCACGCUUGGCGUGUCGAUGCUGUUCGCGCGAGUAACAUCGUAUCUCGUUCGACGUUUCGGAACAUCUACACAAAAAAACCAUUUUUACUGGAAUAACAAAAUUAAUUGUAACAAUAUUACCACAUGGCCAAUAAGGAGAAUUUGCUAAGCCUAUUGAAUUUUUUGUUUUGACAACAAAACAUUCAGUAGACUUAGCAAAUUUUUCUUGCUGGUCAUAUAAUAGCAAACCUGUUUUUUUUGUGUAUUGUACGCGCGCGAUUACGCAGCUUUCAGAACGACAUUCUGAACGAAUUCUUCUUGAAUCAUAUCGAGAUAAAGUUACUAAGUAUUUCUUUAUCUUCUUUCCUGUUCGACUAUUUCUCAAUUGUCACAGAUAAACAGCGCAAAAUUAUACGUGAUGAUGAUGAUUAGAAAUCAUUUGAUUAUAUCGCGCGGAUGAUGUUUUUUAUAAAACAGUGCAUUUUUUAAUUUUAUACGAUAAUUUUUGAUAAUUUUACUAGGUCGCAUUUGUGAAAAUUACCGCUAAUAAAUCGGAUUUAUAAGUCUAUAUUGAGAUUAGAUAUUAUAUAAAAACAUAAUGGUAUAUAUAUAACAAGAAAAUCUAAAUCCCACGCACCGUUUGCAAAUUUCGCGAUGCAAUGGUCUUUUAUUGAUACAAAACAUUCAGCAGAAUAGUAGUCUUAAGUCAUUCUGCAGCGUGGCACGCGAAAAUUACUUCUCAUUGUCACGUGCCGUUCUUAUCUCGUUGCGACAUUACCUUGGAUCAUAUAACUCGGACAACGCUCAGGGGCGCGGUUAUUUACAAGCGAACGGACACACAUCACGCGCCGCAGAGAAAAAAGAGAAUUGUUUAUGAUCAUUAGCGUUAUGAUUAUUAAUCGCGAUCCGUUGCUCGCGUCGUGGUUUUACUCUAUCUUUGUGGAGAAACGAACGAUAUGUAUGUACAUAAUCGAUACGUGAGCAGACUUAAGAGAUAGGGAUGGGACGGAGAAGAAGAAUAGAAAGAAAGGGGUUAGGCAGAGCAGAGAGGGAGAACAGAAAGAGAAAGAGAGAUGAAGAUGUUAAGGUAAGCGGAUAAGGAAACGACGCCGAAAGAACGAGGAGAGGGUCUCUCUCAUUGAGAGAGCGAUUGUGAUAGCUUUCUCGGCGCACGAAAAAUGAUCGCGAGCGUUUCACAUGGGUGGCACCACAUCGAUUGGUUUAAAUGUUGUCCACACACCGAGCACCUUUCGCAUCUAUGAGCACCUGAGCACCACACCACGAUGAGCACCUCUGAUACCAUCUCCAGCACCUCCGAUACCACGUCGCAGCACUGUUGAAUACCCUGAGAAAAAAGUAAAUAAAAGAAAAGUAAAAACCACCACAAAUCUUUUUGUGUUCCUGGCACUUACGGUUGUAGGCUGUAUCGCACGUUUAUUUUCUACUAACAACCUGCUUUCAGGACAGUCGGUACAGGACAGGUGUGCACUUUAUCACGAAGGGAAAGCCAAGGUCGCGACUAUGCUAACAUGGACUGCCGAAAGUGAGGCGUAUUGAUUAGAAGGGGGCGAGCGCAUAACGCAAUCAAAUGUCAAAUCUGAUACACCGUGCAUUCAAGUCAACGACUUAUCCUUAAUAGAGACAGAAGAAGAAAAAGAAAAAUUAAUAAAAGACAGAGAGAAAGAGAAAGAGAGAGAGAGAGAGCGAGAGAGAAAACAAGAUCUGUUGUCGAAUUUUGCAACUUGAAAAAUUGUCAACAUAAACAAGUCUCCCGGUUGCCAUUUAUUAGAGACGUCACUGUCAAUAAAUGAUUACAUCGGUAUUGCAUUUUCUAUGCAAUAAUUCAUCACUGUGUUAAAAACAAAUCGCCGCUUGUGAUUUCUCAUCAGGUUUACCUUCGAUCUCCCUUUCAUCGGUAUCAAUCAACUGCCCUGAAAUAUUUACUCACUUUGAACAUACAUACAUACAUACAUAUCUGCCUAUACACAAUUGACACAUGCAUACACACGCGCUAUCCUCAGUUUCCUAUUGUAUCGCGAGUUCAAAUAAAAAGUCGGCCUAAACUCAGAAUCGCUACUGACGUGCCUUCAGACUGGCAGUGAGUAGAACGCAGAGUUGAAGAAGGUGAACAAAUAAAAAAGAAACAAAAAACUUUGUUGUUGCUCUUCAUGUAAGUCAAUUAUAACGCCCAGUUGUACAAUCGUACGCGAUAAAAAAGUGAUUGUAGAAAAAACAGAAGAGAGAGAGAGAGAGAGAGAGAGAGAGAGAGAGAAGAAAUAUAAAUAUACAUAUACAUAUACAUAUAUAUAUAAAGAAAGACUAGAAAGAAAAAAAAAACGGAGGAGAUACCGAUUUGAAAAACGGAGCAUUAAAUAAUCAGCAAAAUGGCGAUUUGCGUGUUCUGGCUUCUAACUUAUGUGGGACAAGGUCUAGAUGUGGCAGUAGGCAAUCGACCUACGAUCGUACAGGUGCCAGUCGCACAGGGACUGGACUAUCGCUACGGAAGUAGCGGCAUCAAAAAGAGAAGUUUGGAAGUAGACGACCUGUUGCACGGCGGAAUAACUCCUACCGACGGUCCUCAUCGGAAGGAUCUGUCCAGCUGGCUAGUCUUGAACGACGACUCAGAUACGUGGUCGCCGCAUAUCACGGACAUGUUGAUCGAGGAUAUUAUCCAAGAAGGGCAAGCGCUUCAGAAAGCAUUCUUCUCUCUCACGCAGCCGACCGUGUCUCCCGCCGUGCUGAACCCCGCUGUGAAUACCGCCAUGCUCUAUUCCGAGCACAUGACGUCGCAGAAAUCGCUGACGAUCGCUGAUCCUUUUGCGCGCGAGGACGAGGACGAUAUUUACCAGCGGCAUCUCUAUUAUCACGAUCGCGAGCCUCUCGUGAAGAAACGGCGUCUGGGCUGUAAACAUCCGCGGGGUCCGCUCAGCCUGCCGAUACCGGUGUGCGACGAGGCCAGCAGGAGAACUGCCAUCGGCCUUCAAGAACCCAGACAAUCUAAUCACGAUCUCUACGCGGAGCCAAGAUAUAACACCGCGGUCAACAUGAAGACUGAAAUCGCGCGCGCCGACAGCGGCAUUUCUCCCUUUAAUUUGCCUCCAAACAGUGGCUUCGCCCCUUGGGCUUUCAUUUACGAGACUGUCAAGCUACCUGGAAACAAGCGGAGUCAGAUAGUAAUCGGACGGCGUUCGAUCGAUGGCCAGGGAGAAUCUCCAGGACAACAGACUCAACCGUCCUCGAUACCGUCGGCCGAUUCGAGCUUCGCCUCACAAAUCAUGACGAAGAGGAACACCCGGGGAAGCAUUCAAUACGACAUACCGCAAAUUGAAUGUCCAGUCUCCGACGAUGGGAUGGACAGAUUCGCUUGUCCAACUGCAGAUAGAAUGGGCAGAUAUCAUUGUAUUGAUGAUCAUGUUCUGUGUGACGGAUUUAUAGACUGUCCCAUGGGCGAGGAUGAAGACAGACAACACUGUAUGUUCUACAAAACCACUCCAUCUGCUCUUACGUACAAGUGAGAAGAGACGUGUGGCGGUAAAUUUACAUUAUUCCAGCUUUCUUUUAUCCAUGCUUCCUCGUCAAGAGAAUAUAUGCUAUCAGCGACAGAAUAAAGACAAAAACGCAUUUGAACAUAUUAGCAGACGCCAUACUCCGUUGGGCAAGAGGACGCUAAUUCUCUCUUUGUUGAUGACCCUCC